rnacentral:rRNA from 1 species
CUACGGAGGGUGCAAGCGUUAAUCGGAAUUACUGGGCGUAAAGAGUACGUAGGUGGUUUGUUAAGUCAGAUGUGAAAGCCCCGGGCUCAACCUGGGAACUGCAUUUGAAACUGGCAAACUAGAGUAUGGUAGAGGGGGGUAGAAUUUCUAGUGUAGCGGUGAAAUGCGUAGAUAUUAGAAGGAAUACCAGUGGCGAAGGCGGCCCCCUGGACCAAUACUGACACUGAGGUACGAAAGCGUGGGUAGCGAACAGGAUUAGAUACCCUAGUAGUCC